UUAAAUUGAAGAGUUUGAUCAUGGCUCAGAUUGAACGCUGGCGGCAGGCCUAACACAUGCAAGUCGAACGGUAACAGGAAGCAGCUUGCUGUUUCGCUGACGAGUGGCGGA
rnacentral:rRNA from 2 species